UAUACUUCAAAAUAAGAUUUCCGCUGGGAGACUGGUGCGAGUUUUGCAAUAUCUUCGGAAAAAAGAAACGAGAGCAUCACGAAUAACGAACAAAGCGAUAAACCCUGGGUAAACCUAUUAUCAAUGAGAAUAGUUUAGUGUAGGAGUUUUAUUGUGAUGAAGUUGUUGGUAUUUGAUUGAAUCAGUAUGCUAGAAAUUCAUUCUCCUCAAGUGGUGGAUCUAGGAAAAUACAUUGAAACAGUCCAUCAAUUGGUUUCAUUUAACCUUGAAAAAUUCCUAAACAAAGCCAUUGUUAUAAAGAAUAUGACAAGGCUCUUUGUUUACUUCAUGUGGGAACAUUGUGAGCUGUUUUCUUUC